rnacentral:rRNA from 1 species
AUUGAACGCUGGCGGCAUGCUUUACACAUGCAAGUCGGACGAGUGGCGAACGGGUGAGUAACGCAUCGGAACGUACCGAGUAAUGGGGGAUAACUGUCCGAAAGGACAGCUAAUACCGCAUAUUAUUCGAGCGGCCGAUGUCUGAUUAGCUGGUUGGCGGGGUAAAGGCCCACCAAGGCGACGAUCAGUAGCGGGUCUGAGAGGAUGAUCCGCCACACUGGGACUGAGAGACGGCACAGACGCCCACGGUAGGCAGCAGUGGGGAAGUUUGGAAAAUGGGAGCAAGCCUGAUACAGUCAUGCAGCGUGUCGGAGUAAGGGAUGCGGGUUGUAGGGGUCUUUUGUCAGGGAAGCGGUAGCUGUAGAAUAAGCACCGGCUAACUACGUGCCAGCAGCCGCGGUAAUUC